rnacentral:rRNA from 1 species
CAAUAGCGUAUAUUAAUGUUGUUGCAGUUAAAAAGCUCGUAGUUGGAUUUCUGGUGGGAGCGGCCGGUCCGCCGUAAGGUGUGUACUUGGUUGUCUCCUGUCAUCCUUGUGGGAACUGCUCUGGCAUUAAGUUGUCGGGGUUAGGGAACACAUCGUUUACUGUGAAAAAAUUAGAGUGUUUAAAGCAGGCUUAUGUCGUUGAAUACAUUAGCAUGGAAUAAUAAGAUAGGACUUUGGCGUCUAUUUUGUUGGUUUGCACACCAAGGUAAUGAUUAAUAGGGAUAGUUGGGGGUAUUCGUAUUUAAUUGUCAGAGGUGAAAUUCUUGGAUUUAUGAAAGACGAACUUCUGCGAAAGCAUUUACCAAAGAUGUUUUCAUUAA